CUCAGAUCUGCAAAUAAAACAGGCAAAGAGAGUGAAACACCGCCAUGGCUGCAGAAACCCAGUUGCAUACACGAGAAGAAAGAGCUCUUCUCCAGAUGCCAUCCGGGUUCGCCCCGCCAAGAUACGGGCCAGAUUUCCCCAUGCCCGACCCAACUCAAAAACAAUAAUCAUCAUAGCCAAAAACGUAGUAGCUGCAGCAAGAAUCCCGAAACUGAGCCUCGCUUUUUAGAGGCAAAACAAGAAGAUAGGAUACCAUUGGAUGAAACUUGCAAACAAGUUCAUUUCAUGGAGCAGCAGUUUUCAAGAGAACAUAUACAUUGCAGCCUGCGAGGGCUGUUGGUUUUUGUGGUAUGAAGAAAUCAUUGGCAAGUAGAGAGGGGCAACCACCCUUAAGAACUUCCCAUCUCUCUGUUUCACCUCCGUUCUGGAGUUGGG
rnacentral:lncRNA from 1 species